UACGAAGGAUCCAAGCGUUAUCCGGAUUUAUUGGGUUUUAAGGGUGCGUAGGCGGCCUGUUAAGUCAGGGGUGAAAGACGGUAGCUCAACUAUCGCAGUGCCCUUGAUACUGAUGGGCUUGAAUGGACUAGAGGUAGGCGGAAUGAGACAAGUAGCGGUGAAAUGCAUAGAUAUGUCUCAGAACACCGAUUGCGAAGGCAGCUUACUAUGGUCUUAUUGACGCUGAGGCACGAAAGCGUGGGGAUCAAACAGG
rnacentral:rRNA from 1 species